UACAGAGGUCCCAAGCGUUGUUCGGAUUCACUGGGCGUAAAGGGUGCGUAGGUGGCUACUUUAAGUUUGAUGUGAAAGCUCCGGGCUCAACCCGGAAAUGGCAUUGAAUACUAAAGAGCUAGAGGAUUGGAGGGGAGACUGGAAUACUUGGUGUAGCAGUGAAAUGCGUAGAUAUCAAGUGGAACACCAGUGGCGAAGGCGAGUCUCUGGACAAUUCCUGACACUGAGGCACGAAAGCUAGGGGAGCAAA
rnacentral:rRNA from 1 species